rnacentral:rRNA from 1 species
GACGGAGGAUGCAAGCGUUAUCCGGAAUGAUUGGGCGUAAAGCGUCCGCAGGUGGCAGUUCAAGUCUGCUGUCAAAGACCGGGGCUUAACUUCGGAAAGGCAGUGGAAACUGAACAGCUAGAGUAUGGUAGGGGCAGAGGGAAUUCCUGGUGUAGCGGUGAAAUGCGUAGAGAUCAGGAAGAACAUCGGUGGCGAAGGCGCUCUGCUGGACCAUAACUGACACUCAGGGACGAAAGCGUGGGUAGCGAACAGG